rnacentral:rRNA from 1 species
UACAGAGGGUGCAAGCGUUAAUCGGAAUUACUGGGCGUAAAGCGUGCGUAGACGGUUAUUUAAGUCAGGUGUGAAAGCCCCAGGCUCAAACCUGGGAAUGGCAUUGGAAACUGGCGACCUAGAGUGCGGUAGAGGGCAGUGGAAUUCCCGGUGUAGCAGUGAAAUGCGUAGAGAAUCGGGAGGAACAUCUGGUGGCGAAGGCGACUGCCUGGACCAGCACUGACACUGAGGCACGAAAGCGUGGGGAGCAAACAGGG